AGAAGUCAAUAGACCAGACAUUGUGGUAACACUCUCUUUCAUGGCAGGGCUAUAUAAGGAUAAAACUUAGUUAGCAGCCAUGGCGGAUGAGUACUGUUUCCUCUAAUUUGUCUGAGAAAAGGCGAAUCUGAGU